AAUAUUGGACAAUGGGCGAAAGCCUGAUCCAGCCAUGCCGCGUGAGUGAUGAAGGCCCUAGGGUUGUAAAGCUCUUUCACCGGUGAAGAUAAUGACGGUACCUGCAGAAGAAGCAUCGGCUACCUACGUGCCAGCAGCCGCGGUAAUACGUAGGAUGCAAGCGUUGUCCGGAAUUAUUGGGCGUAAAGCGAACGUAGGCGGUUUCUUAAGUUUGGUCUUAAAGGCCGGGGCUCAACCUCGGGAAUGGACUGAAUACUGGGAAGCUAGAGGAUGUUAGAGGAAAGUGGAAUUCCAAGUGUAGCGGUGAAAUGCGUAGAUAUUUGGAGGAACACCAGUGGCGAAAGCGGCUUUCUGGGACAUUCCUGACGCUGAGGUUCGAAAGCUCGGGGAGC
rnacentral:rRNA from 1 species